rnacentral:rRNA from 1 species
AUACGUAGGGGGCGAGCGUUGUCCGGAAUGAUUGGGCGUAAAGGGCGCGUAGGCGGCCCGGUAAGUCUGGAGUGAAAGUCCUGUUUUUAAGAUGGGAAUUGCUUUGGAUACUGUCGGGCUUGAGUGCAGGAGAGGUAAGUGGAAUUCCCAGUGUAGCGGUGAAAUGCGUAGAGAUUGGGAGGAACACCAGUGGCGAAGGCGACUUACUGGACUGUAACUGACGCUGAGGCGCGAAAGUGUGGGGAGCAAACAGGAUUAGAUACCCUGGUAGUCCACACUGUAAACGAUGAAUGCUAGGUGUAGGGGGUAUCGACCCCUUCUGUGCCGCAGUUAACACAAUAAGUAUUCCGCCUGGGGAGUACGGCCGCAAGGUUGAAACUCAAAUGAAUUGACGGGG